rnacentral:lncRNA from 1 species
GUUAUGAGAAGCCCUUCUUCUGUGUCGGACGUCUUGCAGGAGUCGCUCGCUCCAAGUGCUUUCUCUCUCUUCUGUCGGCGCCACCAUGGAACAACAGGAACCAGGUUUCAGCUACCUCGGCGAGCGGUAGCUGUGAUGGAACGUCAGUGGACAGUUAGCCAUGGCAAACCCUUUGGAGGUUGCACAAGCACUUAAGGUGUCGUACGUCUUGCAGGAGUCCCUCACUCCAGGUGCUCUCUCUCUCGUAUGUCAGCGCCACCAUGGAACAAGAGCAACCUACUUCAGCGAGCAGUAGCUGUGAUGGAACCUCAAUGGGACAGCCAGCAAUGACAAACCCUUGGGGUCUACUGCCUGUGGAGGUUGGACAACGACUCCAGGUGUCGGACGUCUUGCAGGAGUCUCUCACUCCAGGUGCUCUCUGUCUCUCUCUUCUGUCAGCGCCACCAUGAAACAACAGGAAUCAGGUUUCAGCUACCUUGACGAGCAACAGGAUGGAACCGCAAUGGGACAGCCAGCCAUGACAAACCCUUAGGGUCUACUACUACCUGUGGAGGUGGGACGAGCACUGAGAACACCCAACAUGAUAUGGGAAUAGCGAGACCAGCUGGGUUUGGUCAUGGACAGAUUUCAGGUAUGCCUGAGUCGGCUCGGCAGGU